rnacentral:rRNA from 1 species
UACGUAGGGGCCGAGCGUUGUCCGGAGUUAUUGGGCGUAAAGCGCGCGCAGGCGGCCUCGCGCGCCCGACGUGAAAGCCCCCGGCUUAACCGGGGAGGGUCGUUGGGGACGGCGGGGCUUGAGGGCGGGAGAGGGUGGUGGAAUUCCCGGUGUAGUGGUGAAAUGCGUAGAGAUCGGGAGGAACACCCGUGGCGAAGGCGGCCACCUGGGCCGACCCUGACGCUGAGGAGCGAAAGCAUGGGGAGCGAACAGG